rnacentral:rRNA from 1 species
CCUACGGGGGGCUGCAGUGAGGAAUAUUGGUCAAUGGACGCAAGUCUGAACCAGCCAUGCCGCGUGAAGGAUGACGGCCCUAUGGGUUGUAAACUUCUUUUGUACGGGACGAAUAUUUUCUACGUGUAGAGAACUGACGGUACCGUACGAAUAAGCAACGGCUAACUCCGUGCCAGCAGCCGCGGUAAUACGGAGGUUGCAAGCGUUAUCCGGAUUUAUUGGGGUUAAAGGGUGCGUAGACGGGAGUGGAGAAAGCCUGUAGCUUAACUAUAGAAUUGCCAUUGAUACUGAUAUUCUUGAGUGUAUUUGAGGUGGGCGGAAUGUGUAAUGUAGCGGUGAAAUGCUUAGAUAUUACACAGAACACCAAUUGCGUAGGCAGCUCACUAAACUACUACUGACGCUGAGGCACGAAAGCGUGGGGAGCAAACAGGAUUAGAUACCCCGGUAGUC